rnacentral:rRNA from 1 species
AUUGAACGCUGGCGGCAUGCCUUACACAUGCAAGUCGAACGGUAACAGGUCUUCGGAUGCUGACGAGUGGCGAACGGGUGAGUAAUACAUCGGAACGUGCCUAGUAGUGGGGGAUAACUACUCGAAAGAGUGGCUAAUACCGCAUGAGAUCUACGGAUGAAAGCAGGGGAUCGCAAGACCUUGUGCUACUAGAGCGGCCGAUGGCAGAUUAGGUAGUUGGUGGGAUAAAAGCUUACCAAGCCGACGAUCUGUAGCUGGUCUGAGAGGACGAUCGGCCACCCUGGGACUGAGAAACGUCCCAGACUCCGACCGAAGGCAGCAGUGGGGAAUUUUGGACAAUGGGCGCAAGCCUGAUUCAGCAAUGCCGCGUGCAGGAUGAAGGCCUUCGGGUUGUAAACUGCUUUUGUACGGAACGAAAAGCCCCGGGUUAAUACCCUGGGGUCAUGACGGUACCGUAAGAAUAAGCACCGGCUAACUACGUGCCAGCCGCCGCAGUAA